rnacentral:rRNA from 1 species
UACAGAGGGGGCAAGCGUUGUUCGGAAUUACUGGGCGUAAAGGGCGCGUAGGCGGCCUGCUAAGUCGAACGUGAAAUCCCCGGGCUCAACCCGGGAACUGCGUCCGAUACUGGUGGGCUUGAAUCCGGGAGAGGGAUGUGGAAUUCCAGGUGUAGCGGUGAAAUGCGUAGAUAUCUGGAGGAACACCGGUGGCGAAGGCGGCAUCCUGGACCGGUAUUGACGCUGAGGCGCGAAAGCGUGGGGAGCAAACGGG